UCUCUGCCAGGUUUUGUUAUCAGGGUGAAGGUGGUCUUGCAGAAUGAGUUUAGGAAUGUUCCUUCUGCAAUUUUUUGGGAACAGUUUCAGAAAAGUAGGUGUUAACACUUCUCUAAAUGUUUGAUAGAAUUUGCCUGUGAAGCCAUCUUGUCCUGGACUUUUGUUUGUUAGGAGUUUUUGAAAAUCACAGGUUCAACUUCAAUACUUGUGACUGGUCUCUUCAUAUUUUCUAUUUUUUCCUAGUUCAGUCUUGGGA